UUUAGAGAAGUAAAAGUCGUAACAAGGUUUCCGUAGGUGAACCUGCGGAAGGAUCAUUAUUGAAUGAACUUGGCGUGAUUGUAGCUGGUCCUCUCGGGGGCAUGUGCACAUCUGUCAUCUUUAUCUUUCCACCUGUGCACACUUUGUAGGUCUGGAAUAAAAAUUUCCGAGGCAACUCGGUCGUGGGGAUUGUUAUAUCAGCUUUCCUUGCAUUUUUCAGGUCUAUGUUUUCAUAUACACCAUAACAAUGUAAUAGAAUGUUUUUAUUGGGUCUUGGUUACCUAUAAAACUAUAUACAACUUUCAGCAACGGAUCUCUUGGCUCUCGCAUCGAUGAAGAACGCAGCGAAAUGCGAUAAGUAAUGUGAAUUGCAGAAUUCAGUGAAUCAUCGAAUCUUUGAACGCACCUUGCGCUCCUUGGUAUUCCGAGGAGCAUGCCUGUUUGAGUGUCAUUAAAUUCUCAACCUUAUCAGCUUUUGUUGAUAAUGGCUUGGAUGUGGGGGUUUCUUUGCUGGCUUCUUAACGAGAUCAGCUCCCCUUAAAAUUAUUAGCUGGUUGCGUUGUGCAAACUGUCUAUUGGUGUGAUAAUUAUCUACGCCGUGGACUUUCUGCUAGUAUUUUAGCACCGCUUCUAACUGUCCGUUGACUCGGACAAUAUAUAUGACAAUUUGACCU
rnacentral:rRNA from 1 species